rnacentral:rRNA from 1 species
AUCUGCCCUGCACUUCGGGAUAAGCCUGGGAAACUGGGUCGUAAUACCGGAUAGGAGCCAUUUUUAGUGUGAUGGUUGGAAGGUUUUUUCGGUGUAGGAUGAGCUCGCGGCCUAUCAGCUUGUUGGUGGGGUAAUGGCCUACCAAGGCGGCGACGGGUAGCCGGCCUGAGAGGGCGGACGGCCACAUUGGGACUGAGAUACGGCCCAG